CAGGCCACCCUUUGCGCCUCAGUUUUCAAACGUUUCGGAAUUCGGGCGGUCUUCCGAAACGGAUUGCAUUCAAAAACUGAGUGUGCUGGCGUCAGUGAUGAGCCCAUGCUCAAAGGGACUUUUUGAUGUCUUUUGCUGCAUGCCGGAAAACGAAGAAUCAAAAUAUGCUGUAUUUUCCUUAUCACAUAAUUUUCACCUCAAUCUAGGCUCUGCUGAUCAAAUAAAGGAAGAUAAGAAUUUC